rnacentral:rRNA from 1 species
CACGUGGGGUAACCUGCCCUCAAGACGAGGAUAACCGUUGGAAACGAUGGCUAAGACUGGAUAGGAAUACGGGAGGCAUCUUCUGUAUUUUAAAAGACCUGGCAACAGGUAUGCUUGAGGAGGGGCCUGCGGCGCAUUAGUUAGUUGGUGAGGUGAUGGCUCACCAAGACGAUGAUGCGUAGCCGGACUGAGAGGUUGAACGGCCACAUUGGGACUGAGAGACGGCCCAAACUCCUACGGGAGGCAGCAGUAGGGAAUUUUCGGCAAUGGGGGAAACCCUGACCGAGCAACGCCGCGUGAACGACGAAGUACUUCGGUAUGUAAAGUUCUUUUAAGAGGGAAGAAUGGCCCGUGGAAAAGCGGGCGUGACGGUACCUUUUGAAUAAGCCCCGGCUAACUAUGUGCCAGCCGCUGC